GCUCCGGUGGCCUAGUGGUUAGAGCGUCCGCCUCAGAUGCGAGAGGUCGUUGGUUAGAACUCCGGCUGAGUCA